rnacentral:snoRNA from 1 species
AUCCAAAUGAUUAUAAAAACAAUCUUUUUGAGUCUGAGGAAGUAUAUGCAGGACUUUAUUGUUAUUUAGGAAUUCUUCGUUUAUGAUCUGGAC